UCUCCGUAGGUGAACCUGCGGAGGGAUCAUUAACAAAUCUUCACAAUACCAUGUGUAAAUGUCUGUUCCGUGGGGUGUCGCUGGGGACGCGACGCGUGGGGCAACCCACCCACGGACUAUUACAAACUAUUGACAGAGCAUGUAGAUGCAACAUUAACAACUUUUAACAAUGGAUCUCUUGGCUCUU
rnacentral:misc_RNA from 1 species